AGCUUUAUGAAUCCGUGUUGAGAUUUCGUCAGACAUCAACCCAUUAGGAUUGAUCAGACUUCCAAGAUUAAUGAAUUU
rnacentral:pre_miRNA from 1 species